AAUAUUGGACAAUGGGGGCAACCCUGAUCCAGCCAUGCCGCGUGUGUGAAGAAGGUCUUCGGUUUGUAAAGCACUUUUAGUUGGGGGGAAGGGCUUUAGGUUAAUUCCCUGAAGUUUUGACGUUACCAACAGAAGAAGCACCGACUAACUUUGUGCCAGCAGCCGCGGUAAUACAGAGGGUGCAGGCGUUAAUCGGAAUUACUGGGCGUAAAGCGCGCGUAGGUGGUUCAGUAAGAUGGGUGUGAAAUCCCCGGGCUUAACCUGGGAACUGCUUUCAUAACUGCUGAGCUAGAGUACGGUAGAGGGUAGUGGAAUUUCCUGUGUAGCGGUGAAAUGCGUAGAUAUAGGAAGGAACACCAGUGGCGAAGGCGACUAACUGGACUGAUACUGACACUGAGGUGCGAAAGCGUGGGAAGCAAA
rnacentral:rRNA from 1 species